rnacentral:pre_miRNA from 1 species
UACAUACUCCCUCCGUCCGGAAAUACUUGUCGGAGGAAUGGAUGUAUCUAGACAUAUUUUAGUUCUAGAUACAUCCAUUUUUAUGCAUUUCUUCGACAAAUAUUUUCUGACGGAGGGAGUACAUC